GCGGGUGUAGCUCAACGGUAGAGCAGAUCAUCGUCUCGCGUCCCUCGCCCGUCGCGAGGCGGGCCGCUGCUGGAUGGUUAUUGACUCUUAAUCAAUCAGAUGCCGGUUCGAGUCCGGCCACCUGCA
rnacentral:tRNA from 1 species